GACGAACGCUGGCGGCGUGCUUAACACAUGCAAGUCGAACGGAAAGGCCCCUUGGGGGGUACUCGAGUGGCGAACGGGUGAGUAACACGUGCGUAACCUGCCCUUGACUUCGGGAUAACUUCAGGAAACUGGGGCUAAUACCGGAUAGGAAUACUUUCUGCAUGGGGGGGGUUGGAAAGCUUCGGCGGGUUUGGAUGGACUCGAGGCUUAUCAGCUAGUUGGUGGGGUAACGGCUUACCAAGGCUAUGACGGGUAGCCGACCUGAGAGGGCGACCGGCCACACUGGAACUGAGACACGGUCCAGACUCCUACGGGAGGCAGCAGUAGGGAAUCUUGCGCAAUGGGCGGAAGCCUGACGGAGCAACGCCGCGUGAGUGAAGAAGGUCUUCGGAUCGUAAAACUCUGUUAUUAGGGAAGAACAAAUGUGUAAGUAACUAUGCACGUCUUGACGGUACCUAAUCAGAAAGCCACGGCUAACUACGUG
rnacentral:rRNA from 1 species